UCCUCAAUAGCUCCUAUGGUAAAGAAGUCGACUAUUAGCUAAUUGGUCGUAGGUUCGACUCCUACUUGGGGAG